CUGCAUGCUUGAGGCCUUCUGAAGACCAGAGGAUGCCUGCACCUUCUCAGCAAGGUCUUUUGCCUGCAGGGCUGCAGUGACAGCCACCACGUGCUCUGGAGGGAUGUGGCAGAGGUGGACAAUGCACACCACUGUUUAGAAGCAACUCUGAUGGAGUCAACCAGGAGAGCUCGAGUGCUCAAUGUGGAAUUUAAGGCCCAAUCCUGAUGUUGGCAAAGUUAGUAGAAGACUUACUGAAAGACUAGUGGAAAGAAUUUGAAGGGUUUUAAUGAGGAAAAUAUUCCCAAGCGGAGGAAAAAUAAAUGGGUUCAGCUGCCUGCCUUUAUUAGGAAAGGCUACUUAAGAGAAGACUUCUAGAACUGGGAGAGCAUGGAUUAAGUUAUGAAAGAUAUACAUGUGGCCAUUCCAUAUGUUUGUACCAAAAAUGUGAAACAAGAAAACCAACCCAGCAAAACCAUUCAUGAAACAAAGGCUGAAAAGCCAUGAUUGAUGCCAACAAGGAGAGAAACGUUAAUAUUUCAGAUUUAUUUUACUGUGUGGUGUUAUCUGUUGUGCUCU